GGAAAAACACAACAAAAAGAAAAGGAAAAAAGAGAAGAUGAAAAAAAAGAAAGAAAAGAAGAGAAAGAAAGAGAAAUCGGGUCCUGUACAACUUUCUAAAUAUCUCAAAGAUAAAAAGAAGAAUCAUAACUACAGUAUGAUCACAGGAAAGAAAAUUAAGAUGAAAAUAAAGAAGAGUAAAAAGGAUAAAGAGAGGGAUCGAAACCGUGCAGAACUUCUUGAUUUCUUGAACUCUACUUUUUAGUAAAAAAGCUGUU